rnacentral:tRNA from 1 species
GCCCGGAUGGUGGAAUUGGUAGACACGCUGGUUUCAGGUACCAGUGCCGCAAGGUAUGCAAGUUCAAGUCUUGUUCCGGGCA